AAUCGAAACAACUACUGAAACGGUACGC
rnacentral:piRNA from 1 species